rnacentral:misc_RNA from 1 species
AAACAAACUAGUGAUGGUUAUAAGUAGGGGUAAAACGCGCUGUGUCUCCCUGCAUAUCAAGUUUUUUUGAUUAAGCUAAAUUAUUAGUUCGUCUUCCUUUCUAUUCUGUUAUUUUUCAUCUUUUAUCUUGAUUAUUGAGGAGUGAACUACACUUGAAGCUCGGAAUCCACUGCCUUGCAAUAUGUUGGCUCCUGCUGGGAGUUUGGGAUUCAGUGUUUGAGAUAUGCACAACAUGCACACAUCACGCAGGAGAGGUACCAAAUUUGAAUCCCAAUCAACUCAAUUAAAAAGAAGAAAAAAACAUUCAAAACUGGGAAUGCAAGAAAAUGUACCAGGAGACAGGUAACACAGUGAAAAUACAUAGAAAGGAAUACACUGUGCUGUUUAAUACUGGAGAUCAAUCUAUGCUUCGGAAACAUGAACAUCUUCCACUUCAAUAGGAAGAGUUCACCAGUAUGAAGCAACAACAAAUCAUUCAAUCACAACAUAAUUUCAACCAAAAAAAUUGGCACAAUCCCAACAAUCGCUACGCUUUAUUAAACAAAACGCAGCAGCUAUAAUGUACUAAAUUACAUACUCAGAUAAGAUGGAAUUGAAAUUUAUUUACGCUUCCGUUGACGCGUACUUCUGGAUUAGCAAAGCCAUUGAAGAACGCAACGCCUAUCGAAAGCGAUAAAAUCAAAACACAAACAGUGUAAAUUGAUCUCAAAAGACUCAAAAAAAUACAAAAAAAAUUAGAAAUUGAUAAUAAAAAAUGUCCAUAAAAAAUAAUUGAUAAUAAUAAACAGAAAAAAGAAUUGUUCAACACAGAAUUCAGAGCUGGGGUAUUGGUUAGGUAGGGCGGCGGCGAGGCAGAUGAGAAGAAAUGACUGAUUUGGAACGCUCCAGUUCCAUACGGGAGCCAGAGCUUGCCUAAAAAUGGCUACUCACUCGGCAGCAAAGAAGAAGAAGAGAUGAAUAUUUGGGAACCUAGGGCGGAGCAGCAGAGGAGAAUAAAUGGAGAAGAUUGGGCGGGCAUUUGAAGAUCUG